rnacentral:rRNA from 1 species
AAUGGGGGCAACCCUGACGAAGCAAUGCCGCGUGGAUGAAGAAGGCCUUCGGGUUGUAAAGUCCUUUCGUGGAGGACGAAAAGGHGGGUUCUAAUACAAUCUGCUAUUGACGUGAAUCCAAGAAGAAGCACCGGCUAACUCCGUGCCAGCAGCCGCGGUAAUACGGGGGGUGCAAGCGUUAAUCGGAAUCACUGGGCGUAAAGGGUGCGUAGGCGGUACGUUAGGUCUGUCGUGAAAUCCCCGGGCUCAACCUGGGAAUGGCGGURGAAACCGGCGCACUAGAGUAUGGGAGAGGGUGGUGGAAUUCCAGGUGUAGCGGYGAAAUGCGUAGAKAUCUGGAGGAACAUCAGUGGCGAAGGCGGCCACCUGGCCCAAUACUGACGCUGAGGCACGAAAGCGUGGGGAGCAAACAGGAUUAGAUACCCUGGUAGUCCACGCCCUAAACGAUGAAUACUAGAUGUUUGGUGCCUAGCGUACUGAGUGUCGUAGCUAACGCGAUAAGUAUUCCGCCUGGGAAGUACGGCCGCAAGGUUAAAACUC